rnacentral:lncRNA from 1 species
UUGGGGUAGAGACAGCAGUUUGUGGGUAUCUGCGUCGGAAAUCCUUACGAGACAAAACUCGUCCACUAGGGCCACCUAGGGGUUUAAAGCCUUAUUGCAUAUGGUAAAUGCAAUCGCGAUUCCUGCGAAAGUGAGUUAGUUUUUAUUUUGCUUGAGGACUAGCAAAAUGUAGGUUUGGGGGUGUGAUAAGUACUAAAUAAUGCAUAAAUUAACUUCUUACUC